GGAGUCGUGGCUCAGUGGUAGAGCGCUUGCUUUAGCAUGUAUGAGACUCUGGGUUCGAUUCUCAGCACCA
rnacentral:tRNA from 1 species